UACGACCUACGGGGGGCAGCAGUGGGGGAUAUUGCACAAUGGGGGAAACCCUGAUGCAGCGACGCCGCGUGUGGGAAGACGGUCCUCUGGAUUGUAAACCACUGUCCCCAGGGACGAAGAUGACGGUACCUGGGGAGGAAGCUCCGGCUAACUACGUGCCAGCAGCCGCGGUAAUACGUAGGGAGCAAGCGUUAUCCGGAUUUAUUGGGUGUAAAGGGUGCGUAGACGGGAAAUUAAGUUAGUUGUGAAAUCCCUCGGCUCAACUGAGGAACUGCAACUAAAACUGGUUUUCUUGAGUGUUGGAG
rnacentral:rRNA from 1 species